CAACCUAUACCCGAAAUCCCAACUACACACUCCAACUUUACGGGUGUCCUAUUACCCACCUGAACUUUAUAAUUCUCUAUUUUAUACACACCUAAGUGCUGACCUGUCAUGGGAGGUGUUCUCACCUUCUCUAGGCGCGUUAGAAGGUGAAUUUUGACGAAAAUUUUUCGAGAAAAUAGUCAUCUUCCCCCAAUUAAUCAAUGAAAGGAUUCAAUCUCAAUUGACCUCCAUUAAUGGCAUUGCUAGUGCUUUCGUUUGUUCUCCCUCUUUUGCUGCUCGACCAUCAGCCACCACUGUCGCCGCCUCCGGCGAAAUCCAAACUACCAACAAAACCUCGUUCUCCUCUUCCCUAUCCUCUUAUCUCUCUCCCAUUCCGAGACAACCACCAUAAAGACCUACCUCUGUUCUCACAACAAGGUCGACAACAACAACAACAACAAAACCUUGCGGCUGCACUUCUCCAACUAGCGAGCUCCGGCAAAGCAAAGAAGCAAGCAAAAUAGAUCUUUUUAGAUUAUUUUUCAAUGUUCUCCGACAAGCAAAACUCGAAUAUCGCUUGACAAGCUCCCGCUAUCAAUAUUCAUCUUUGUUCCUCACAAUUCCAUAGGAAUUUGAAAGAAUUGGGGGAAGAAAUUACCUUAGAGAUUUUAAGAAAUUGGGAGAGUAUAGGAAAAAGUGGAAAGGAAUUAUAAAAAAAUUGAAAAAAAAUAAUAAAUUAAUUGAAUUUUCACCUGUAAAACGCGUGAAGUUCACAGGCCAACACAGAUCUGGUUAUGGCGUUUUAGGGGUGUAAUUAUUAC
rnacentral:lncRNA from 1 species